AUACUUCAGCUCACCUUGACUCGGAGUCCUGGCCCGUCCUUUACAUCAUACGCACUCACUUUGUCUCUGCUUCAAUGGGCAAGGGAAACCGAAGCAACGCGUAUCUUUGGGCCACCCUCCAACCAUGUUUCACAUCUCUCUACAUCGCCUUCUUGCUGCACCACGUGACCAGCACGGUCGGCAGCAACUCUCCCUUUCCUUACAUACCAGAGGACGAAAUUAACCUUGACUGUGGCUCCUCCGGCAAUUCGACCGCACUAGAUGGUCGGACCUGGAUUGGAGACGAGAAUUCUAUAUUCUUCCCAGUUGAACAUCUUCAAAACAAUGCAUCUCUAACUGCAAGCGUUGUGCAGCAAUCCUCCUCUGCUACCCGAGUACCCUAUACAACAGCCCGCUUAUCUCUCUCCCCAUUCAGCUAUAUAUUCUCAUCAGUCACUGCAGGCCAAAAAUUGGUUCGACUAUACUUCUACCCAGCUACUUACGGCACCUUUGAUCGCUCUAAAGCCCGAUUUUCUGUCAAAGCUGGACCUUUUACUCUUCUUCGCAAUUUUAAUGCUGCGCUUAUGGCGGACCCUGAUUAUGAUUCCGGCCAUGACACCAUAUUUAGAGAAUUCUGUGUCAACAUCGAGGAAGGUCAGAGGCUGAACUUAACCUUAACUCCAAGCGAUUCCAAUUCAUUUGCUUUUGUCAACGGAAUUGAAAUCUUGUCAAUGCCUACUAAUCUCUAUUACACUCCGUCUGAUGAUCAAAGGCUCCCUUUUAUCGGCAAGAGCAGCCGUACCGAGUCGUUAAUGGAACUGCUCUCGAGAUGCUAUACAGAAUAAAUGUUGGAGGGAGCUUCAUCUCACCCGCCAGAGAUACAGGAAUGUUCCGUAGCUGGAAUUCGGACUACAAGUACUUGACAGAAGAUUUAACAUCUGAGCUACCAGUUAGUACUAUUGAACUAAACUUCAGCCAAAUACCUCCGUACACUGCACCGGAAGAAGUCUAUAGAACUGCCCGCACUAUGGGGAUCAACCGAUCCUCGAAUAAGUUAUACAAUCUCACUUGGCAACUUCCCGUGGAUUCUCAGUUUGAUUACCUUGUUAGGUUACACUUCUGCGAGUUUCAACCAGAGUUUAAAGCGGUGGGCGACCGACGAUUCCUCAUUUUCAUUGCAAAUCAAACCGCUGAGAGGGCAGCCGACGUGAUAAGAUGGAGCGGUGGGAGUGGGGUUCCCGUAUAUAGGGACUACGCUGUGUCGAUGUUUGGCAUAGAAAGCCAGAAAAGAGUGAACCUCUCUAUCUCCAUCUCUUCAGAUCCUGAACGGUACAGUGGUGCAAUCUUGAACGGUAUCGAAAUCUUCAAAGUCAACGACACCAAUGGAAAUCUCGCCGGACCCAACCCCAACACACUUCCGCUGACCCUUCCAACGGCAACAAAGUCAAAUAACAACAGAAUAAAAAUAACGGCCAUCGUCGGUGGCGGAAUUUCCGGCAUUAUUGUUCUGUUGAUUCUCGGAUUCUUGAUUCUCCGGCGAGCCAAGACCAGUUGGCGUUGGCGGCGUCCAUUUUCUUUCCAAACUUCCAAGUCAACAAAGACUCACGGAUCAUCGCUACCGUAUUUGUGCCGUAACUUCUCAUUGGCUGAGAUUAAAGCAGCCACCAAAAACUUUGACCAAAAUUCCAUUAUUGGUGUUGGUGGGUUCGGUGACGUGUAUAAAGGGUACAUACACGUUGAUGGUGAGGCCACCCAUGUUGCGAUCAAACGGUUGAAACCCGGUUCUCAACAAGGGGUCCAAGAGUUCAGAACAGAAAUUGAGAUACUAUCACAGCUCCGCCACCACCAUCUCGUUUCUCUAAUAGGAUAUUGCAAUGAUGGCAACGAGAUGAUCCUUGUGUAUGAUUUUAUGUCUGGUGGGACUCUUUGUAGUCAUCUCUACAACACUGAUAAGAGUCAUAAGACACCUCUUCCGUGGGAUCAACGCCUCCAAAUCUGUCUUGGUGCGGCACGUGCGUUAAACUACUUGCAUAUAGGUGCAGAGCACCCUAUCAUUCAUCGUGAUGUCAAAAGCACAAACAUUUUAUUGGACGAGAAAUGGUCAGCCAAGGUGUCCGAUUUUGGAUUGUCAAAAUUUGGUACUACUAGCACGUCCAAGGCCCAUGUUAGCACAGCUGUUAAGGGUAGUUUUGGGUAUUUGGAUCCGGAAUAUUAUCGACGCCAACAGUUGACAGAGAAGUCUGAUGUGUACUCUUUUGGUGUGGUGUUGUUUGAAGUGUUGUGUGCAAGGCCACCCAUCAUGCAUACGGUAGAGCACGAGGAGAUAAGUCUAGCAGAGUGGGCCCUGAAAUGUUAUCGCAAUGGUAAGCUUGGUCAGAUUGUUGAUCCAUUAUUGAAGGCUGAAAUUGAACCAGAGUGUUUGAAGAAAUUUGGCGAGAUUGCAGUGAAUUGUUUGCAUGACAAUGGAACCGAACGGCCAUCAAUGAAUGAUGUGGUGUGGGGUCUUGAGCUCGCAUUGCAGUUGCAAGGGAGUGCAGAAAAAGCUAUCUUCCAUGGGGAGCAAAGUUUUGCUAGUAAGGAAUAUCAGGAUGGAUUGAUGUCGAUGUUUUCUGAGAUUAUGAAUCCUAGAGGUCGAUGAAAGAUAUGCUAGCUAGCUGAAUUUUAAGAGUUUUAUUUGAGUGAUGAUUGCAACCUUGCAAACUAGCACAACAAUUCAUUUUAUUUCACUUAUUAUUAUUAAGCAACAUCAUAGUGGUAAUGCAGAUAUCUGAUAAGAAUACUUUAUAAGCAUAAACUUAUCAGCGUUCUUAUUGCAGUAACAUUCAGUUGUAUAAAAUUAUAGUUGUACGUUUUUCUAGGACGUGACAUAGAAUU